rnacentral:rRNA from 1 species
CAGCCGCCACGGGAAUACGUAGGGUGCGAGCGUUAAUCGGAAUUACUGGGCGUAAAGCGUGCGCAGGCGGUUAUAUAAGACAGAUGUGAAAUCCCCGGGCUCAACCCGGGACCUGCAUUUGUGACUGUAUAGCUAGAGUGCGGCAGAGGGGGAUGGGAUUCCGCGUGUAGCAGUGGAAUGCGUAGAUAUGCGGAGGAACACCGAUGGCGAAGGCAAUCCCCUGGGCCUGCACUGACGCUCAUGCACGAAAGCGUGGGGAGCAAACAGGAUUAGAUACCCCUGUAGUCCCUGUCUCUUAUAC